rnacentral:rRNA from 1 species
UACGGAGGGUGCGAGCGUUAAUCGGAAUUACUGGGCGUAAAGCGCGCGUAGGCGGUUAGCUAAGUCUGAUGUGAAAGCCCCGGGCUUAACCUGGGAACUGCAUUGGAAACUGGCUGGCUAGAGUGUGGUAGAGGGUAGUGGAAUUUCCGGUGUAGCAGUGAAAUGCGUAGAGAUCGGAAGGAACACCAGUGGCGAAGGCGGCUACCUGGACCGGCACUGACGCUGAGGUGCGAAAGCGUGGGGAGCAAAC